rnacentral:rRNA from 1 species
CAGCCGCCACGGUAAUACGUAGGUGGCAAGCGUUGUCCGGAAUUAUUGGGCGUAAAGGGCUCGCAGGCGGUUUCUUAAGUCUGAUGUGAAAGCCCCCGGCUCAACCGGGGAGGGUCAUUGGAAACUGGGAUACUUGAGUGCAGAAGAGGAGAGUGGAGUUCCACGUGUAGCGGUGAAAUGCGUAGAGAUGUGGAGGAGCACCAGUGGCGAAGGCGACUCUCUGAUCUGUAACUGACGCUGAGGAGCGAAAGCGUGGGGAGCGAACAGGAUUAGAUACCCCCGUAGUCCCUGUCUCUUAUAC